AGUGAACGCUGGCGGUAGGCCUAACACAUGCCAGUCGAACGGCAGCACAGUAAGAGCUUGCUCUUACGGGUGGCGAGUGGCGGACGGGUGAGGAAUACAUCGGAAUCUACUUUUUCGUGGGGGAUAACGUAGGGAAACUUACGCUAAUACCGCAUACGACCUACGGGUGAAAGCAGGGGAUCUUCAGACCUUGCGCGAUUGAAUGAGCCGAUGUCGGAUUAGCUAGUUGGCGGGGUAAAGGCCCACCAAGGCGACGAUCCGUAGCUGGUCUGAGAGGAUGAUCAGCCACACUGGAACUGAGACACGGUCCAGACUCCUACGGGAGGCAGCAGUGGGGAAUAUUGGACAAUGGGCGCAAGCCUGAUCCAGCCAUACCGCGUGGGUGAAGAAGGCCUUCGGGUUGUAAAGCCCUUUUGUUGGGAAAGAAAAGCAGCAGGUUAAUACCCCGCUGUUCUGACGGUACCCAAAGAAUAAGCACCGGCUAACCUCGUG
rnacentral:rRNA from 1 species